AUUGAGCGCUGGCGGCAUGCCUUACACAUGCAAGUCGAACGGCAGCAUGAUCUAGCUUGCUAGAUUGAUGGCGAGUGGCGAACGGGUGAGUAAUACAUCGGAACGUGCCCUGUAGUGGGGGAUAACUAGUCGAAAGAUUAGCUAAUACCGCAUACGACCUGAGGGUGAAAGUGGGGGACCGCAAGGCCUCAUGCUAUAGGAGCGGCCGAUGUCUGAUUAGCUAGUUGGUGAGGUAAAGGCUCACCAAGGCGACGAUCAGUAGCUGGUCUGAGAGGACGAUCAGCCACACUGGGACUGAGACACGGCCCAGACUCCUACGGGAGGCAGCAGUGGGGAAUUUUGGACAAUGGGCGAAAGCCUGAUCCAGCAAUGCCGCGUGUGUGAAGAAGGCCUUCGGGUUGUAAAGCACUUUUGUCCGGAAAGAAAUGGCUCUGGUUAAUACCUGGGGUCGAUGACGGUACCGGAAGAAUAAGGACCGGCUAACUACGUG
rnacentral:rRNA from 1 species